rnacentral:rRNA from 1 species
GAUGAACGCUAGCGGCAGGCCUAACACAUGCAAGUCGAGGGGCAUCGCGGUGCAGCAAUGCACUGGCGGCGACCGGCGUACGGGUGCGUAACGCGUAUGCAACCUGCCCCCGCACCGGGGGAUAGCCCGCCGAAAGGCGGAUUAAUACCCCAUGGUCCCCGGGGGCCCGCAUGGGCAUCCGGGUAAAGCCUUGGCGGUGCGGGAUGGGCAUGCGUGCCAUUAGCUGGCUGGUGGGGUAACGGCCCACCAGGGCAACGAUGGCUAGGGGGUCUGAGAGGAUGGUCCCCCACACUGGUACUGAGACACGGACCAGACUCCUACGGGAGGCAGCAGUGAGGAAUAUUGGUCAAUGGGCGGAAGCCUGAACCAGCCAUGCCGCGUGCGGGAUGAAGGCCCUACGGGUUGUAAACCGCUUUUCCCCGGGAAGAAUAACCCCGAUGAGUCGGGUGAUGCCGGUACCGGGGGAAUAAGGAUCGGCUAACUCCGUG